rnacentral:rRNA from 1 species
GAUGAACGCUGACAGAAUGCUUAACACAUGCAAGUCAACUUGAACUUCGGUUUGGGUGGCGGACGGGUGAGUAACGCGUAAAGAACUUGCCUCACAGCUAGGGACAACAUUUGGAAACGAAUGCUAAUACCUGAUAUUAUGAUUAUAUGGCAUCGUAUAAUUAUGAAAGCUAUAUGCGCUGUGAGAGAGCUUUGCGUCCCAUUAGCUAGUUGGAGAGGUAACAGCUCACCAAGGCGAUGAUGGGUAGCCGGCCUGAGAGGGUGAUCGGCCACAAGGGGACUGAGACACGGCCCUUACUCCUACGGGAGGCAGCAGUGGGGAAUAUUGGACAAUGGACCGAGAGUCUGAUCCAGCAAUUCUGUGUGCACGAUGAAGUUUUUCGGAAUGUAAAGUGCUUUCAGUUGGGAAGAAAAAAAUGACGGUACCAACAGAAGAAGUGACGGCUAAAUACGUGC